GGGUGGACUGACCACUGCCCUGGCAUGCAAGGCCUAUGAGCAUGCUGUGAAUGUUGACUGGAAUGGGGCACAGCUUGUUGGGCCUCUCCAAAACAGUUUGGGACUCACUACUAUGGAGGCUAUGCAUUUAAUGAGAAUGAAACGAUCCCAUGAACGAAUCAACAAUCAUGACCCCUUUUCAUUGUCACAGGUGUGGAGGUGGUGUGCGGCCGGUGGACUCUGGACAGGACGGACCUUGUCGGGUUGUGAUGGGGCCCUGUAUGACGUUCCCUUGGCCUUUGGGCCCCCUAUCUUUUUACACAAUGAUUUGUGCUGUCCUGAUAUG
rnacentral:lncRNA from 1 species